rnacentral:rRNA from 1 species
UACGUAGGGUGCAAGCGUUAAUCGGAAUUACUGGGCGUAAAGCGUGCGCAGGCGGUUAUGCAAGACAGAUGUGAAAUCCCCGGGCUUAACCUGGGAACUGCAUUUGUGACUGCAUCGCUGGAGUGCGGCAGAGGGGGAUGGAAUUCCGGCGUGUAGCAGUGAAAUGCGUAGAUAUGCGGAGGAACACCGAUGGCGAAGGCAAUCCCCUGGGCCUGCACUGACGCUCAUGCACGAAAGCGUGGGGAGCAAACAGG